rnacentral:rRNA from 1 species
AGAAUUUGAUCCUGGUUCAGGAUGAACGCUGGCGGUGUGCCUUAAGCAUGCAAGUCGUGCGGGUUUUGUCGCAAGACAGAAUCAGCGGCAAACGGGUGAGUAACGCGUAGGGAUCUACCUUUUCGUGGGGGAUAGCUCGCCGAAAGGCGGGGUAAUACCGCAUGUGAUCGCGAGAUGAAAGUCGUAAGACGCGAAAAGAGGAACCUGCGCCCCAUCAGGUUGUUGGCGGGGUAAUAGCCCACCAAGCCUAUGACGGGUAGCCGGAGUGAGAGCUCGAUCGGCCACAAGGUAACUGAGACACGGUGCCUACACCUACGGGUGGCAGCAACUGGGAAUCUUGCGCAAUGGACGAAAGUCUGACGCAGCGACACCGCGUGUGGGAUGAAUGCCUUCGGGUUGUAAACCACUGUGGCAGGGGAAUAAAAAAAUGAAGGUACCCUGCUAGAAAGCACCUGCUAACUACGUGCCAGAAGCCUCGGUAAUACGUAGGGUGCAAGCGUUAUCCGGAUUUACUGGGCGUAAAGAGUCUCGUAGGCGGAUGUGUGCGUGGCGGGUUUAAUCCUGGGGCUCAACUCCAGAACAGCUCGUCAUACGGCAUAUCUAGAGUCUGUUAGAGGGAACUGGAAUUCUCGGUGGAGGGGUGAAAUCCGUAGAUAUCGAGAAGAACGCCAAGGGUGAAGACAGGUUCCUGGGACAGUACUGACGCUGAUGAACGACAGCUAGGGUCGCGAAAGGGAUAAGGGUAAAAACUCUAGUCCAUCUAUGAAGUAAUUCAUAGAAAAAAACAUUCAGCUAUAUGCUGGAAGAUCUGAGUAUCUUGGGCUAGUUGAUGAUUGAAUUCGUGUUACAUUCGGGUAUUAUAAAAGUAAUGCCUAUGAAUAUACAUACACAAUCUUCAACUGAAAAUGCUUCAAGUGCAGACAACCAGCAGGCAACCCCAUGGGAAACAUGGGAGAGUCCUCAGAGACUAUACGCUGAAUAUCCUAACGGGAAAGCUACUUUAUUGGGAAUACUGUAUACAGACGGAUGUCUGUCCAAAAUGAGCAAAUACACCUGGAGAUUUUAUCUCGGGAAUACCUCCUUAGAAAUAAUCAUAGUAUUUAGAGCGUGUAUGAUGAACAUUUUUGGAUUAGAUAGCCAAAAAAUACGCAUUGCUCAAAAAAUGGUAAAUGGAAAACCUUAUUAUAAAGCCGUUGUUAAUAGUGGUCAUUAUGGUAAUCAAUUGAUUGCUCAGUAUGGCACAUUUAGAACACUUGCUUAUAAGGAUGAAAAUGGAGAGAAGUUAUAUCCAUAUGCUCAUUUACCUUUUAAUACCUCUU